GGAGCAGGUAUGAACCAGCACUCUCCCCCAAGACACAUGUCUCUCUAUUCAUGGGAGGAGUAGAGCAGACUCACAUUUGUCGUUGAUGACACAUGGCAUACGGAGUUGGCCCUUUAUGUAUAUUGCCUCUUUGAAUCCUUAGGUGAUUAACUCGUGGAAAUCAACAGCUCCAGGGCCAGCUACCAUUGGAGGGGACAGUCAGGCCUAGCUCUUAGAAACCUGGUGACACUUAGGAAGUUUGACUGCAAAGCCUCCCCUGCUCUCUGGCUCUCUGAGACCCACCUCAGCCCUGUGGGCCAAGCACCCAUGUAUCUCUCCUAUCAGGAGAAAAUAAAGUGUCUGGUGAAGUUAUUCACUCCAGGUGUUAGGAACUUAAUGCAUAAUACCUCCCAGGAGAAUGUGUAUUUCUCAGGACAGCCAGAGAGUGGGUGGUACUGAACCAAAAGAGUGAAUCACUAAUAGUGGAAUCCCAGGCAUUUGAGGAGGUCAUAUUUCUUGGGUGGGUUCCUUCCUGACAUUGUUUAUAUUAUAUAAAGUUGACAGCCACCUAUUGUCCCCCUAAAGGAGAUUGUCCCUAUGGGUGCGGUGAUGAUGAGGAAAGAGAAGAACAUUCAGGCUGGAGCCAGGGUGGUCUGAUUUUCAAAAACAAAUCUGUCCCUUAGAAUGAGAGGUGGCUUAAACACUCACACAGCCUCCCCAAGCGUGGUGAAGAGAUCCUGUCUCCCCUCUGUAACCAGGUUCUCUUCACCUGGAACGUGGUGCUGUCAUUAUGCAAUGUCCCUGUUGGCAGAGGUGUUUGGGCCCCUUGUUUUCAAGUCUGUGCCAUUUCCAAGAAGGAGCUGUGGCCUUUGAGUAGGACUGAGCUACUGAAUAGCAGCCCCAGUGCCAAGUGAAGGAGCCAAGAAGAGGCAGAGAAGAGAAAGUCACGACUGUCACACAAAGAUGAGACAGCCGCCCCCCAUGGUAGCUGGAUGGCAGUCCUGUUGUCCUGCAGCGGCCUUGGGGGCAGAAUGGGGUCAAAGUCGGGCUGCGGGCAGAAAGAAGCCAGGCCAGGCCAAGCAAGAGAGAAGGGCAAAGCCCCUGGGUGGUAGGAUGUGAGAAAAGUUACUUUCGUCAGGAGGGUAUCACUCUACAUUCAAAUCCAGCGCCCCAUGAAUUUAUAAAAGCCAGGCUCAAGGAAAAGUUUUUCCUAUUAGACUUAGUCACAUCAUCAAUAACAAUAAUCACUGUUACUAUUUCUUAAGUGUUUAAUCCAAAGCCAGUAUGGAAGUUAUCGAUUGAAGUCCUGACGAAGGUCUAAUCCGCUCACCCAGCAUGUAUUUAUUGAGUUUCUACUUAAGUCAGGCACUACCCUAGGCACUUAGGGCAGACCAAAGGCUAGGACAGACAAAACCCUGGUCCCGGCGGCAGGGCCACCACAUGCAAUUAACAACACAUCACUCUAGGGGGCACCGUAUGAUGCCUGGGCUACUUUGUGUAUUGAGCAGCCUGGCGGCCCCUGUCUGCGGUGCUCUCAUUCUAGCAGAUGUAAUCGAAUACCAACAAGGUGGGCGAAAUUCUCCUAUUACAGUUUGAGACACAGAGGGCUAAGUAACUUGCUGAGUUUUUCAGCCCCAAAGGACUGAGCCACAAUUUAUACCUAAAGACCUUGCAGUCCACCUGUGCCACGUAUGUGCCAUUCUCUCCCUGGUGGGUGUAGAGAUGAAGGUGUAGACAGGCUCAUAGAGGCAGAGCUGGGUUGGUUGGCCCAGUAGCAGUACUGUGUCCUGACUGGAUAGACUGGAACCAGCUCAGCGGUAACAGAGAAUCUCUUGGGGAAGGCUGACUUAACUAUAGGAAGGUUUGAUAACAUCAGCUGCCUUCAUAGUAAGGGUGGGGGGACUGGCCUUUUUAUUUUUAUCAGCUGGGGACUUAUGUGGAAAGGUCCAUCCCUGGGUAGACCUUGCUGUCUUGCAGGGCCAGAGGCAGCUAUUGAUUCUUGCACGUAUUUAUCGUUUAUGAAAUAUCCUAGUUAUAUUGGCAGAGAAGUUGGUCCAGGUUUGUAAGGGUAGGCUCCAAACUCCUCUGGUUGAGAAUGGAGUAGGACAGGUGCCCUUGGACAGGUUUCCUGAAUAAAGUGAGCAUGUGCAGCGAGAACGGAGAAGGUGCUCUCCUCUGAUGAGCUCAUUCUGCUAGGGUUGGAUCUAGUUUUCAGCGAACAGCAUGAGUCUUGCCUUUGGACCAGACUCUGUGCUACCCCAGUCAUGAAAGGAGGACAGCCACAUCUACGUUCUUCUGCCUUUUGUCCAAGCUUCUGUCUUGAAGGAAGAAAGAUGGCCUCUGGUUGUCGUCCCCUCCUCUUCUGCUGGGUAUCCCUUCUCCCACCUUCAGGUGCACCAGUGUGUGGCUUCUGAGCCAACCUUCUGAGACCUGAACUGGGCCGCCAGAGAUCUAAUGGCUGCUGCUUUGGCGUGGCAACCCUUGAGACUUGACACAGUUUUUCGUUAGCCCCCUGGAGAAAUGGAGAGGCUAAAGCAAUAGAGGACAGAAGGUUAUUUGGUGCCGGAGACUGGGAAAAGGGGAAAGGUAGAGGGAAGCUCGGUGUCCUAAAAACAAAUUUCACCCCCUCUCCGUUUUACCUAAGACGGGUGUUGCCUAGACAGCGUAAGUUCUGUAAAAGUGAUUUUCGUGAUGGUUUGGGCCAGGGGUGACAAACGUCUGGCACAUUUGCUGUCAUCUGUCUUCUCCCCACACCUUCUCCUGGCCACUGGGAUGGUAGUUUCAGACCCUUCUCAUUUUUUUUUUUAAUAUAUGAAAUGUAUUGUCUUCAGACCCUUCUCAAAUCAGCAUUCCAUGCAGGCUCCAUCCAUCAUAGUUGGCCUUUGAGAUGAAGUCCCCUCCUUGUGCCUGUUUAGAGGCCUUUUGCUGUGAGUUCUUUAUGGUAGCUUUUUCCUGAGGUAUCUUCUCUUAUUGUUGUGUCUUUCGCAGAACCUGGAAAGUCCGAACACAAUUUGGUGUUGACUCACAGAAUGUUCUCUGAAUCGAUGACCUUCGGUGUGUGCCAAAGCUGACUGAUUCACUGGUCUCUUCCCCCAACCAAGCUGGUUCUCUGGGCUCGGCAGGAGUCCUGACUGAGACCUCUCCUUACUCCAUAUUCUCUUUAUUACUAAUGAGGCGUGGUUCCUUAAUUACUAGGUGCUGGAUACCAGAAUUGAUUUCCUUUGUUUCAGUGAAUUUAGGAAAAGACUUAUGAAUAUUUCUUGCGCUUGACAUGAACUGCUUGAUUUUUUUUUUUUUUUUCCGGCCUGCAAAGGUCACUGAAGGGAGACAAGGCAAAGUGACGCCUAGAGCAUCAACAAGUAUGAAAUUCACCUUUAUCAUUGAAGCAUUCAGAUCCUUUGAUACACGUUCCCUGGACACUCUGCUGCCUUAUUUAAAGUAAAAAACAACCAGAAUGUGGGAGGUGCCCCAGGUAGCUCAAUAUUCUGUGAGCUAAAUGAGUGAUAUCAGUAUAUUAAAUCACUAAUAGCCCUCGUUGUAAAAAACUGUUCCAACAUAGAUGAGCCUAAAUUUCCUACCUUAGGGUGUCCCACCUCUUGAACAUAACUGACUCCUUAAUGAUUCAGAGUUUCAAAGCCUCAGGGUCCUAAUCCUGAGAAGCAGAGACUGGGGAAAUUUUGCUGAAGUUUGUUGGCUGGCUAUGGGAUCUAUUAAGAAAUUGUCUUUGUUGGUAUUAAAUCCAAGACUUUUUUUUUAAACCAUUUUUUUUUUUCUCAUGAAAACCGUAAAGUUAAUGAAGGUAGAAGCUGGUUAGAGUUUCAUUUAAUGGAUAAGCUCUUUCUCGAAGUCUUGGAGCACUUAUGUCUGAGGGCAAAAUGUUUAGUUGUGAUGAUCUGUGUUGGCCAUUCCAGCACAAAUAGCCUGAGGUUGCAAUGGUUAGAAUCAUCCACACUGUCCCUGCCAAAACACGGAUCCUGGCAGGUCACCUAGCCUCUGUUGGCCUCAGUUUCCUCCUCUGUAAAAUGGGCGGAAUAAUCAGGCAAGGUGCAGUAUUUAACCUAAGUGAGGAAAGUGGAUUAUUAUUGCCCUAAAAAACCUGUAGAAAGACAUUAAAAAUAUUUUUAUUCAAUUGCAUGUUGAAAUUUAUUUUUAAAAUAGGGUUUGUUGACGCAUCUGGGUGGCUCAGUUAAGCGUCUGACUCUUGAUUUUGGCUCGGGUCAUGAUCUCAUGGCUCACGAGUUUGAGCCCCGUGUAGGGCUGUGCUCUGACAGUGUUGAGCAUGCUUGGGAUUCUGUCUUUGUCCCUCUCUCCCUCUCUCUCUGCCACUCCCCCACACGUGCACACUCCCCCCCCACCCCUGACCAAAUAAAUAAAUAAACUUAAAAAAAAGAUAAAAUAGGAUUUGUUGAAUGGGUGAUGGAUAUUAACAAGGGCACUUGUGAAAAGCACUGGGUGUUACAUGUAGGUGAUGAAAUCACUAAAUUCUACACCUUGCCAAAAUGAAGCUCUCUACCCAUUAACUAAUAACUCCCUAUUUUCCUCUUCCCCAGUCCCUGAUAAACACCAUUCUAUUUUCUGUCUCUAGGAACCUGACUAUUCUAGAUGCCUCAUAUAAAUGGGACCGUUUCUAGUCAUUUUUAUAAAUGGGUCUUCUUAAAAAAUAUGAACUUAGCCUAAUGAAUAUGUAAUUCAGCAUCCUGAUUUCUUAACAUUUUAAACAUCUUAUAAGAUAUUAUAAACAUCUUUUUGUAUUGCUACAUCCUCUAUAUGAACAUACCCACAAAAGUUGGGCAUUAUCACAUUGAGUGGAUAUAUCAUUCAUUAUUAUUCCUCCAUAGUUUCAACUGCUUGCUAUUUUAAAGAAUGUGUUGAAAACAGUUCUGUGUAGAGCUUUUGUCAUAUUGAGGCUCACGGUCUUUAGGGCAGAUUCAAGAACUUAAUGACUGGCUUGAAGGGAAUGAGAACAUUUUCAGGCUCGUGAUCUACAUUACCGAAUGGCUAGGAAAAAUUUUCAGAUGAUGUCAUUGACAGCUGGGUGGGCUUCCUCUGGGGCUGUGAGGUCCUAGUCUCUUAGGACGGUGACCGCUUGUAGGGUUGAUUCAAGCACUGACUGUGGUGGUGGGAGGGGCAAGGAUAGUUCCAAAAUUCCUGUGUGGGAGAGGGUUAGACAUGCUGAUGUCUUCAUUAGGGGGGAAGCAGAACAUGUGAAACAAGCCCUGUUUUCCCUUUCAACGUGUGCUUUUUCGGAGGCAGCCUGGAGGUGUGCUGAUGGCGGUUAUGGAGAGUCUAGAGCCUUCUCCCACCCUAAACCACCUUUGGCUCCUCCAGCUGGUGGGAUGGGCACUAGUGACCUUUUAAAUCUUUCCCAUCUCUGUGUUUUUGUGAUUCCAGGGCUCUGCCACUGUGCAGGUCCACUGGCUGGACUCAUCCACUUUAGUUUUCUCAUGUCAGCGUGGGUCAUCCAAACCUCUCUUUGGUUCUGUCCCAAGUGUCACAGAGAGGUGGACCCACCCUCUCCCUUCCCAGGAAAGCCCGUGUUGCAAUGAGCACUCCUGUGCUUCUCCCCAGUGCUUUCUCGGUAGCACAAUCGGAUGACACUGCUCUAGCUGCCCUCAGCUGCCCUCCGAGAAGACGUCACAACCGCGAAAGAUCCCAAUCAGUCUGCUUUCUCCCUGUGGCACUGUGUGCUUUGGCUGCCUGGCCAGAAAGCUGGGCCUAUUUUUACCUAUCAUUCUGAUACUAUCUCGGGUAUAAUUGGAAUUGAGCUCUCAGUGUGGAAAUUCUUACUCAGAACACAAAGGAUUGAAGAGAACUCGGAGGCUGAACUCUGGAAGGACUCUUGCCCGACUCCUCUUGGCAGAGAUGGCUCUGGUUUCUCGGAGCGGUGGUAUGGCCAACAGGUGGGUGUUGCCCAGGAAAUUGUUUUUUCUGCUUUCUCAGUAGCUAUGGGCCAUGGGGAACACUGCCAUUUCCGGCCUUCUCUGCAUUAUUUGAUGAGAAUGCAGGUGAACUGCCCUGUGGUUUAAUUCCAAUGGCAGAGCAGUUAGCAUUUGCUGGUUUUUCUUGUCCCAGUGGGAACGCUGGUUUGCAUCUCACUGUACUUCCCUUGAGAUGUUGUGUGGGGUCCUUUAACCUGCAACGUGCCCCUCUGAGUGACGCCCACCCAGAUUCCAAUCAGAUCUAAACCAAUGGUCUCAGCCUUGAGAGCUACCUGUGUGUGUAAAGGCCUACAAGUGCUGCCCACACCAGCAAUAUCAGCUGAAGAGUGUUUUCAAGGGACAUCAUUUCAAUGAUCCGUGACAUCUGUUUCUUUUCUGAGUUUUUCCCUGCACAGCUAAUGCAAUGAUUGUUUUUAAAUUAGAACCUCUUUUUUUCUGUCAUUCCUGUUAUUUCUUAUGUGAGGUCGAUUCUAACAUAAUAGCAAACAGUGGACGCACAUUUCCUAGACAAAGUCAUGAUUUUAUGAAGACAGGAAAGGGCUUAUGAUAAUUUCUGUGAAAUCCAUGUUUGAUCGUUCUUCUCCUUUCUCAGCUGAGAGGUGAGUUCUGACAGUGCUCAGUACAAAAAAGAUAAGGUUGUGAUUUUCUUUUUUACAUUUUAACUAUUUUUAAAUCUUUACUAUGGAACCAAAGCAGGCAGAAGUGGAAUAACUCAACAUACCCUAGAUAGCUACCUCCAAGGCUCCGUGUUGAUCAACCUUUGGCCAAUUCUGCCUCUUCUGAUCUCCAUCCACUAGCUGACUCCAGAUUCCUUUGGAGCAUAUCUUAGACAUCCUGUCAUUUCACACCUAAGUUUUGUACUAUGUGGCUCUAGAAGAUAAACAUUCCCUUGAAAAGUCUAUCUCUACUUUUUAAAUGGAGAAACAUGUGGAACAUUUUCAGAGAGGAUUGAGAGAAGGGUGAUUCUCUCUUUAAUUAAAAAUUGAUUAAACUAAGCCACAUUAAUUGUUACUAGGACAGACGUAUUAGGAAUAGGAAUGGGAAUAGAUACAAUUAAAGUCAUUCAGAAGGAUAUGUUGUAAUUUUUUAGUCACUUGUUAAAAUCAAGGCUUUAUUCUGCAGACACAAUUAUUCACUUGGUUCAGAAUUCUAUACGUUGAAUGUAUCUCACCAGAGGUAAGCUCAGGUCCAACUGAUUGACUUUUCCAUUUGCGUGACGGUGGGUUAGUCAUGUUAGCUUUGUCUAGAUGUCUCCAAGCAUUUUUGACUGCAUACUUCUAUCAGUAAAGAAUUAAGCGUGUAUCCAUAGUAUGAAUUAUUAUUUAGAAAUCGUCUGUAUACUCUAUUAUGGUGGUAAGUGAAGUAUAUUGUAAACCACAUAUAAAAUAGAAACUAAAGAAUUAACUGAUAAAUAGGUUAUCUGCAGGUCUAAUAGGUACAGCAGGUCUAAUAUUUUCUUCCUGCCCUCAGUGGAUAUUCUUGUGCGUGCCCCAAUUUGAAGACAACUGGAGAAGGCAGUGCUAGGCAAUAUACAUCAUAGCGAGGUAUCAGUUGUCAAGCAGGACUGCCUGGGUUUGAAUCCUGGUGCCACUGCUCCUUAGCUGUGUGAUUUUGUACACAUCACUUAGCUCCUCUAAAUCUGUCCUCUCAUUUGUAAUACGAAGGCAUUCAUGCCUUAUAGGGUAUCGUAAGGUUUAAUCCUUGCACAGUGCCCAUUGUGUGGUAAGCAUUCAAUACAUUUUAGCUAAUAAUGAUGACGAUGAUAAUGCAGUCCUAGAGGGCUGGACCAAGGUUUGGCUUCCUCUUUUUACAGAGUGCCUGGCACACACUUAUUGGCACUUAUUUCAGUGUUCGGUGUGCUGAUGGUGGUGUGGGUGAUGACAGUUACGGGGAUGGUCAUACUGAUGAUCAAAAACACAGCGUACGUAUCGUCACUCGCUCGAUUUUAUUUGCAUUGAUGAUGAUGGUGACAGUAUGAUGACGGUUACAGGGACGGUCACAUUGAGAGUGGUGAAUAUGACCAACAGCAGAAGCCCUUUUGCAUUCCCUACUGGAACUACAUCAUCAGUGUUUGCGUUUGUCUUUCCUAAGAAUUUACCCAUCUGACAAAUAUGUUGACUAACUUGUUUUGCUGUCUCCCUUCCUGGCCUCUCUGCCCUGUUGAUCUGUUGUGCUGUUCUGCCCUCCUCUUGUGCUCUCGUGUCUCCAUCUCUCUGUAGAGCCUGCUGUUCCGCUUGCCCACACACAGGUCCAGGAGACGAACCAGCCCCUGUUCAGUGCAGGGCCAUUUCUUUGCCAGUGGCUAUUUGGUUCUCAUGUCAAAGAACCUGCCUAUCAGCCCCUGAGGACUAUGGGUAGUGCUAGAACCUAUGAAGUGUGGCCCUUUAUGGCCUUAUGCAAGACCACAUGGCCUUUAUGGUCUGUGUCUUUUCAGGUGUGAAAAAGGGCAGAUGUGGUAAGAAGUAAACUCAUCUGCUUAUCUGCAAAUGCCCAAACCUGAUCAGGCAGAGGUUCCUGGAAUGCUCUUGUUCAGGAAGUCUGCCAUCCAGCUCUGUGCCUCUGCUUCCCAAGGGAGGGAAGAGGGCUCCUGAGAAGGGCGGGAUCCCCACUGGCAUGAGAUCUCAAGAAAGCUCUUGAGGAAGGACUUUCUCCUUUCCAAAAUCAGGACAAAGGAAGGCUAGGGUUGUGCCCAGUGGUGCCAAAAGUAAGGGUAAUUACAAUAAAAAUUUGCCUUAGGCUCUUUUUCUGGGGGCUUGUGUUUUUCCCAUGAACCUCGUUGGCUGGGCUUUUGGGAGAUAUGCCCCACCCCCUCCAGGAGUGGUUCAGAUUUUAGAUGUUUAAGAAAUUCAAAGGUCUGAGGUUGACAUUUCAUUGGAAGCACCCUGAACUCUUUCAUUCUAGAUAUUGACUUGGGAAUUAAUCUCUUUAAGGAAUUCCAAAUAGAGUGGCACCUCAUACCCUUCCAUUUUUAAUCUUUGUCUAUAGACCAUGUGGUAUCUACCUCUAAUAUUCUGAAAAUGAGUACUGACACCUAAGAAUAUAUGUUUAUCUCUUCAUACUAAUUCUUCAACUGGGAUGUUGGUCGUGUCUCAAAAUGACUAGAGUAUGGAGUAUGUGAUUCUGUAGAAUGAGAUUAUGUGCUCCUAAAACACUAGCUAGGGGGGAAUUGCUCUUUAAUACAAAUAUUCUAAUGAUUUCAAAUACUUUAUCAGUUUGAUACUUAAUUCUAAAUAUUCUUGGGGUUAAAAUACACUUAUCUAAUAACCAAACAGUCAUGCUAUUCCAAACAGUUUGGGAUUGCCUUCCCAUCCACGGUUUUGGAAGUUUCCUUGGCUGGGAGACUCUAGGCCAGGGAAGAGAAAUAUAUUUCUAUUUGUGACUCUGAUGAAGUGGACUGCAUCCUUUGGAUAGUCACUCGAACGAGCACUGGUCACGGGACUGAUUUCUCAAGCAGAGGUGAAAAUGAAAGCCAGGCUGCUGUGUGGUUGGAGAGAUGGAGCUUGCGUCCAUACUUAGGAGCAUUGUUUGGGCUAAACAUGGCGGACUUGCCAGUCACAUGUAUCAUCUCCCUUUUCCAAAUCCAACCCCUGAUGAUAGGAAAGAAUAAAAGAGAAGAAAUAUGUCCAUCCACUGAUGAACAGAUACACAAAAUAUGGUACAUCCACACAAUGGAAUAUUAUCCAGCCAUAAAAAGACAUGAAGUCUACGUCUACAAAAUGGAUGAAUCCUGAAAAUGUUACACGAAGUGAAAGAGACCAGUCACAAAAGGUCACAUAUUGUACGAUUCUGUUUAUUUGAAAAGCCCCAAAUAGGCAAAUCCAUAGGAAUAGAAAGCAGAUUGGUGGUUUCCAGGGGAUGGGACCGAGGAGAAGCAGGGAGUGACUGCUUAAUAGGUAUGGGGUUUCCUCUUGGGGUGAUGAAAAUGUUUGGAACUAGAUAGAGGUGAUGGUUGCACAACAUUGUGAAUGCACUAAUUGCCACUGAAUUGUAUAAUUUAAAAUGGUUAAAAUGAAUUUUAUGUUGUGUACAUUUUACCUUGAUAAAAACAGGUAAAGGGGCAAGAGGAGACAUCACUGCAGACAUUUCCCAAAUUUUGGAAUAUGAAAGACAUUUGAAGAGAUGGCAAUUGACUUAACAGAGUGGAGGAAGCAAUAACCUAAGUGACUAAGGGAGGAGGAUAGGGGGUUGGUACCAAUGAGAAAUGAGCCACAUUACUGGUCAGAACCAUAGAAAGGCUGAGGCUUGGAGAUACCAGGUGCUACAGUAGGUAGCAAUAAACAGGGAGAUUUCUUGAAAUUCAAGAUAUAGAGAAUUUGGAUGCUAAGGUCUUUUUUUUCCCCUAUGCCAAGCAGCCAGGAGAUCCUUUCCUGCCCCUUUCUCUGAGUUGGAAAGACCUAGCGACAGUCAAGCGCAGGGUGGGAUCCCAUCUUAAAAACAAGGGAGAAGUUCAAGUUGACAGGUGAGACACCAGCUGUCUUUAGAAUGCCCACAGCCAGGAUUGAACCAGCCCCUUAGAUUAUCCUGCCCCAAGAAGAAGACUGGAAUAUUCCUUUCCAAAGAAACUGACUAGUCCAAAAGAACACACCCAUUUUCUUAAUAAGACCCUUAUUUGGGGGACUUCCUCAGUAAAAAGGCAGCUCACUACAUCAGCUCCUGGGGAUGCUUCUGGUCAGGGUCCACCAUGAACCCAGACCUUCUAAUUGGUUGUAUGAUACUUUAGUUUUAAUUAUGGAAAGACAGGCUCACUUUUGAUGAAGCUUCUAAUAUGAAAGAGAGAAUAAAAUAAAGAGGAAAAAAAAAACCUUGGUAGUAUAAACAGAAAAGAAACUUGGCAGGAAAAGAAAAUAAGUUAAAAAACAGAAACUUUUAUAUAAUUAAUACCCUUUGGAGACAUAAAGAGAAUAUUGCAUCCCUGAAAGAAGUAAAAGUUGCUAUGGAAACAGAUAAAUUAGACGAGAGAAAAGAGCUCCUGGAAAUUUAAAGAGUGAACAACAAAAUAAAAGUGAAAAAUUAGACAUAAGAUUGGAAGAUAAUGUUGAAAGAAUAAAACUUCAGAUUUCAAAAACAAUGCAGAAUCAACUUGGGAGGUGGUGUGCAACCAGAAGAAAUUUCUGGAGACUAGAGGAAAGGGAGGGAUCUAUUAUGUGUCUAUGAGUCUACGUGUCUAUGUGUCUAUCUAUCUAUCUAUCUAUCUAUCUGUUUUUAAAGUAGGCUUCAUACUCAACCCAACAUGGGGCUUGAACUCACAACCGUGAGAUUAAGACCUGAGCUGAGGUCAAGAGUUGGAUGUUUAACUGACUAAGAAAAGUUUCUGGAACAAAAGGCCAUGAGGUUUCCAGAUCGAAAAGAUUCACCUUGUAUUCAGAAAAAAACGGAGUAAAAAAACUCCAUUGAAACCCAUUCCUGUGAAAGUUUAGGACAAGAAGACCCAAAAUUUUUCAGAGGGUAAAGUGGGUCAUAUACAAAGGACAUGGACCCAGAAUGGCAUCAGACUUCUCUUGGACAAUACUGAAUGCUGAAAGAAAAGAAGCAAUGCCUUAAAAUUUCCAAGAAAAAAAAAAAGAUUUUUAACCGGAAUUCUAUAUCCAGUUCAACCAAAAUCCUGAUGUAAGGGAGGAAUUAAAAUAUUAUCAGACAUAGAAGGAGUCUAAAAUUUUACCUCCUAUGCACCUGAUCUCAGAAGGUAUUGGAAAAUCUACUUCGCCAAAACAAGGACGUGUAUCAACAAAGUAGAAGUGGGAUCUGGGAACCAGGGAUGCCACACAAUACAGGGCACAGCCAGGGUGUGGGGGUGGGUUCCCAAGAACAUGGCAAGGAUGAAUGGUUCUUGAAUGGACAGCACCAGAGGAAGAAACAAAAGGGAUAUUUGACCACCUUAAGCAUUUGGAAAUAAUAUUCAAAAUCUGUAUAACAGAUAUGUCACAACAUUUGUAUAAAAACAGAAGACACAAAGAAAGUCAGACAAAUGAAGAGUAAACAAGGCAAUGCUUAACUCCCGGAAAAACAAAAAUAAAAAAAGCUUUCAAGAAAGGAAAUGCAGGCUUCUUGGUUGGCUCAAUCAGUUACGUGUCUGACUCUUGAUUUCUGCUCAGGUCAUGAUCCUGGGGUCACAGGAUUGAGCUCCACGUUGGGCUCUGUGUGGCGUGUGGAACCUGCUUGGGAUUGUCUCUCUCUCCCUCUCUCUGCCCCUCCCCUGCUAAUGCUCUCUCUCUCUCUCUUUCUCAAAAUAGGUAAAUAAACAUUAAAAAAAAAAAAAAGAAAGGAAAUGCAGUCAUGGUAUACCACCUGACUAAUUGGUGGAUAAUAAUGUGCAUAGUCACUGAGUUUGGUUUGACCCCAAGUUGUGACAUUUUGGAGGAAAGGGCAGGGACAGUGGGGUAUAAAAGAGCUAAAUCUAAACCUUCAUUGGUGAUAAUGUCUAAAAUUGACGUCGAAUGAUGGCAGCACAGGGACAUUAUUUCGAGAUGGGGUUGCAAAUACCAGAAGAAAAGCCAAGAGAGGCAAAAGUGCUUGCCUCUGCAAACAGAACUUAGCAGGUGAUGGCGGGGGGAACGGGAACUUGCUGUUUCCUUGUUGUUAUCGUGACCCUUUUGGUGCCAUCAACCAGGUUUUCAAUAAUGUUGAAAAUGUUAAAAACAUGUAUUUGUAGAAAAUAAAAACUAGUUUAAAAUAUUUGCCAUGGUGGAGGGUGUCAAUGGAUGAAUGCCAAGACUAGACAGUUUUGGUGACUUCCCUGUAUUCGCACCCCGAAUGAGCCCAGAUAAAAAUGAGUGGCAUUUACUGGACAUUUAUAAUAUACUAGCCUCUCCGCACCGUCUCCAUGAAUGUUUACCACAACCCUGUGAAGGAGGCUCUUUUCCUCUCUUCUUUCCCAGAUGAGUAAACCCAGGGAGGGAAGUGACUUGCCCAGGGCCCUGCGGCCAGCAGCCUGGAGGUGUGCAACUAGGAUUCAAACCAGGUCUAGGAGACCCCUCGCCCCGUGUGCUCGCCAUUGCAGUUUUGCCACCUGGCCUUGUCCUCUGAAUCUUCGCGAAGUGCUCUUAGGGCCUAAUUGUCUGCACCCUGUGCUGAAUGCUGUAAAGGUGAAUCACGGUGGGCACAGCGCACCAUGACUCCUGUUGAGUGUAACAGGUCAGAAAUCAUGGAAAUGCACACCCAUUGCCCAUUGACUCUGUGCUGGAACACAGUGAGGGGGUGGUGCAGAGAGCGCCUGGGGGCCUGUAAUUUGGGGGACCCGGAUGUGAUUCAGGGGUGGGGUACUGGUGGGCAGGGACGUGAGAGAAAGAAAGCUGCUCUUCUGGGCCAAACCUAUCCCUCAUCACUUAAUCCAUCACCAUGGAACUCCCCUUUCCCCUUCUACAAUCUCCCUCCAAGACCCACUUUCCAGUUUCUCUUUGUGUUCAAAUCUGAUGUUCUUUUUCGAGGAGUUGAUUUCAUUUUCCUCCUGUAUAAAAUAUAAAGAUGGACUUACUUUUAUUUUUUAUUUUUUUAAUUUUUUUUUCAACGUUUAUUUAUUUUUGGGACAGAGAGAGACAGAGCAUGAACGGGGGAGGGGCAGAGAGAGAGGGAGACACAGAAUCGGAAACAGGCUCCAGGCUCUGAGCCAUCAGCCCAGAGCCCGACGCGGGGCUCGAACUCACGGACCACGAGAUCGUGACCUGGCUGAAGUCGGACGCUUAACCGACUGCGCCACCCAGGCGCCCCUAGGUGGACUUACUUUUAAUUGAGAAAUACAGAAAAGCAAAAAUAAAUCACUCAAACACUUGGCCACAUUUCCCCUUUGUUUCUUUAAAAUUCAUUUUUAUUUGUUUUUUAAUCAAACAAAUACACAUUUAUAGCUUAAACAUUCAAAUAGUGCCCCAGGGUUAUAACGGCCAAGCAUAGUCCUUCCUAGCUCAGCACUCCAGUUUUUUCGGGUGCUGCUUCUGGUCAUUAUCUCCAUUGUUCCCAACACGUUUAAAUGACUUUUCUUAUUGAUUGAUUGAGUUUAUUGCCAUUCAAAAUGAGGACUUGGAUCAAUCACUUAUGGCGCCUUCCUCUCGCUGUGCCCACUUUCCCCAUCUGUAUUCACAGUCCUGCCCGUCUGCCAGGGAGUAAUAUCACCAUGUCGAGUAGUCAAGAGUCACUAUUUAUGCGAUAACUACGCAGAAUGUUCACAGCUGAGCCACUUAAUGUACUAGGAGGAGAUAUUAUUUCUUUCACCAGUCCUCAUCCUCUACCCCCGCCCUCCACCUCCCCCAGCAUGCACAAUUACAUUUUUCCUUUGCUUGAUCUUCCAAGUACCUGUCACUAAUUUUUCUCUCAACUCCUUUCUCCAAAUCUCAGUAAGACUUUUUUUUUUCCCUCUCAAUAAGAUUAUCUCAUCGGGUAGCCUACCAGUUCCACCUUUUUCCCUGUAGACGUCUCUCCCAGAACCUUCCACUUGGUGGUCAUCCCUACUGGCUGCUCCACUGUCUUCCUGGGAUUUCUGACCUUGCCUCCAUCAUCCCAGGAAUUCUGGUCUCACUGUUCCUGUGUUCGAUCACUUGUGUCCUGGAUCCCAUGUUUUUCUGUCUCUUGAGUUUAUUCCCUUCGUUGGGUCUAAUUCACCACCUACGAACUUCCUAAGAAAGACUGAAAGAUAAGUUUUUUGAAUUCUGGACUGAAUUUUGAAGUCACCAGCCCAGAAGCCUUUAUUGCUACACCACGAUUCCCCUUGCACUGUAGAUAGUCCCCCUUCUAUGUCCCCAGCUCGCCGUGCACCCAUCCCCCAGGACAACAGUGUUGAGUGUCCUCGUUUGGCACGAGGCCACUGCCCAUGCCCAGUAAGUGCCAAUCAACAGCACCUGUCUUAAUAAUACCUUAGCCUCAACACCCAAGGUUUCAGUUGUAUUAAUCACCUAAUAAAGAAACCUUCACAAGUGCUAAUUACUAGUCUAGUCUUCAUAUGAGGCCCAUUUAAAGAGGUGCCAUUUUAGAAGCUGUCGUGCUGACAGUCACUUAACAAACGUUUAUUAAAUGUCUACCAUAUACAGGACACCAUGAUAGAGCUUUAACAUUUAGUCCUCAUGGCAAUCCUGCGAAGUGGGCAUUAUUGCCAAUUCUAAGUGAGGGAACAGUUUCAGAGAAUAAAGCUUCUUCAGCUAGUCAUUCACCACAUUUACUGAGAACCUACUAUGUGCUGGGUGAGGAGGAUACUGUGAGGGGCAGGCCCACAUGUCUCUGGCCUCUCGGAGAGUCUAGGUGAGCCAAAGGAGACAGACAUCAAGCAAAUAAUUUUACAAAUAGUUUAUUAAAUACAUUCGAGACAAGUGCCAUGAGACAGAAGUAUGAAGUGCCGUGUCCCCUAAUCUGGGGAAUUGGAGGCUGUUUCCUGGAGGCAGCAUAGUAGGUCUAUAAGAUUAGUGAGAGUUGGCCAAAUGAAAUGAGAUGUCAGGAAGAGAGAGAGGGAGGGAAGAGCAGGAGCUAAGCCUCAGGGGUGAGAAGGGGUUUGCAGAAGUGAGGAACUAACAGGCCAGUGUGACCAGAACCGAGCGGAAUGAUGUGGCAUAAAGCUCAGUGGGGACACGUCAAAGAGCAGAUGGUGAAGGGUUUGUGUGCUGGGACCUGAACACUCUCUCUGAGGGACCUGAACACUCUCUCUUGAGGACAAAGGGAGGCAAUGAAGAGUUUUGAUCAAUGGGCAUGAAAUGAUGAGAUUUAUUCUAUAAAAACUCCUUGUGGUUGUUAUGGGGACACUACAUUGGAGGAGACAAGAGUGGACAUGGGGAGAGCCAAGGAAAGGCUGCUCCAGAUGUCACAACCGUGCUGACAGCUGCUUGCAUUAAAGGGGGUGCCGGUGGAGAUGAGGACAAGGGAGGGACCCAGGACGUCUGUGGCAAGAGGCUUGUUCAAGGUCACAUGAAGCAGAGUCGGGAGCUAAACCCAGCCCUUGUGGUGGAAAGGCCAGCACUCUUUCUGAUACAUGAGAACCGCUUCUUAUUCUGUGCAAGGGUGAGAGGGUACACACGCAGAUUCUCUCCCUGGGCACUGGUUGGGGAUGCCAAGUUAUAACCCAAUAGUCGUGAAGAAUCUCUUCCUUGUGCAAUGAUAGAGCUCCUAAAUUAGGCUGUGUAAUAUGUCCGUCAUCUGGGAUAGAAGAAGAAAACAGUCACUGCUUUUAAGAGCGUGCACAUCCUAAUAAAGGCUAUAGGAAUGUAAACAGGGUCCUCAAACAAUACUAAACACGAGGGAGUUGUAGAAGCUCUAGAAUCUCACACAGCUCUUAAGAUCACAAUCCCAGUGCUACACUUUUUGACUCUUUGACUACACUACACCCAGCAAUAUCUUUGUGGUCCUGGAACCAUACAUCCUCCUAAACAGACUUAAAAUAACAUCACUCUUGGCCUUACCCUGAUUCUCAAUCCUGGCCAGAAACUGUGUUUCUCGGAAACAAUGGUGACAUAUUUUGAAAUUAUUUUAUUAUGUUUUAAGUCUCACUGUUCUCCUAAAUAAUUGAUCUUCAUGGAUUUAUUGAUCAAUGCUUAAAAACCUCAUUAAUGAACUUCUUGGGCACAGGACCAGUAGGUGUGAAGUUUGAGAAUUUAACCAACCAUAUGACCUAAAUUCCCUGCAACAUUCUUAGUUUCCAUACAUAAAAACCAUCUUUAGAACAUGUACCAAAUUUAAGCUUGAAAAUAGAAUUCACCUCCCAGGCAAAGUGUGUAGGAACUUAAGAGUACAGCUAACCUUUGAAAAAUAGGAGUUUGAACUGCAUGGGUCCACUUAUAUGUGGAUUUUUUUCCCGAUAAAUACAGUAAAGCACUGUGAAUGUAUUUCUCUUCUUAAUAAUCUUAAUAUUUUCUUGUCUGUAGCUUGCUUUAUUAUAAGAAUACAGCAUAUAAAGGAUGCCUGGGUGACUCAGUUGGUUAAAUGCCCAGCUCUUGAUUUCAGCUCAGGUCAUGAUCGUGGGAUUGAGACCCACAUAGGGCUCCAUGCUGACAGUGCAGAUCCUGCUUGGGAUUGUCUCUUUCCUUCUCUCUCUGUCCCUCCCACUGUCUCUCUCUCCCUCUCCAAAUAAAUAAAUAAACUAAAAAAAAAAAAAAAAACACACAGUAUGUAAUACAUAUAAACUAGAAAAUAUGUGUUCAUCAGCUGUUUAUGUUAUUAUGGCUUCUGGUCAAUAGUAGGCUUUUAGUAAUGUUUUGGGGGGAGUCAAAGUUAUAUGUGAAUUUUUGACUGUGCAGGAGGUCAGCACCCCUAACCCCCAUUGUUGUUCAUGGGUCAACUGUGUGUGUUUCCAAUGGAAACUCUGGAGUUCAGUUUCAAAAGGGAGGCAGAAACCCAUGGACCUAAGUUCCUAGACUAGGAAGUCUCUUGCAGAUGCCUUGAGAAUUCAGGUUGUGCCCUUUGGGGACACUCUCCUAGCUGCCAUAUGGAUGGGGCAGGGCUGAGUGAAAAAAAGUAUUGUUUAUGGAACAUGAUUUAUUUUCAAAGGUUGUAAAACUCCGUGUUACCUGGCCCAGGCCUUAAUGAAAUAGUUUGAAGAACACGAAGAAAGUACACAUGAAGUUCAGUGGCAAGCUGGUAAAUAUUUAUUGACCUAAAGAAUGUGCAAAUGUAAUUUAUAGAUCACAAAUGAUACAAUAAUCUUUAUUGUAAAUUCCUUAUAGCUAGUGGAUUCCCACAGAAUGCUUCUGAUUUUUGCUCUGGGCUCCUAUAUCCAGAGUGUAGCCAAUCUAUUAUUUCACUUGAUGAACAAACUCAGUACCCACAUGAAUGUGGGUUGAUAUAACAACAAAGCUGUAUGUCGGGUGUUCAAUCAUUUGUCAAUGAUAAGAGCAAGUUCUUUGCUGAACGAAAUGAUACUUUUCAAAUAUUGGAGGAAUACUUCCUCAGGUUUUUUUGCACCAUUCAUAAUGUAUUGAAUGUAUUCAACCUUUACAGUAAAGUACUGUAAAUGCACUUCUCUUCUUAAUCAUUUUCUUAAUGUUUUCUUUUGUUUAGCUUGCUUUAUUGUAAGAAUACAGUAUAUGAUACAUAUAACGUACAAGAUAUGUGUUCAUGGCCUGUUUAUGUUAUUAUGGCUUCUGGUCAGUAGUAGGCUUUUAGCGAUGUUUUUGGGGAGUCAAAGUUAUAUGUGGAUUUUUGACUGUGCAGGGGGUCGGCACCCCUAACCCCCGUUGUAGUUCAAGGGCCAACUGUAUGUGUUUCCAGUGGAACCUCUGGAGUUCAUUUUGAAAAGGGGGGCAGGAACCCGUAGAUCUCCAUAAACACAUUUGAAAAUUUAAUCAGCAUUAUUAACAUUUUUUUCCAUCCCUUUCUUAAAAGUCUUGACCAGGGACCAGUAAACUAUGGCCUGCAGGCCAAAUCCGAUCCCCCCAACCUCUCUCUGUAAAUAAAGUUUAUGGGAACAUGGCCAUGCCCCAUGGUUUCACAUAUCGUCCGUGGCUGUUUUUGUCCUACAGUGGCAGAAGUGAGUAGGUUAGGCAGAGACUGGCCACAAAGCCCAAAAUAUUUACUCUCUGGCCCUUUACUGAAUAGAGUUUGCCGACUCCAGGUUUGGAUAGUCAAUAAAACAGGAAAUCAGGCCUUGAUCCGGUGCUGUUUGCUGAUUUCUGUGGUAUAACUACUCCCACGGUGGCUAAUUUCACUCUUGCAAGGCGCCAUCACCAGCCACAGAGUCGGGAAGAUUGAACACCCAACAGCGGCUCUAGCUGUACGGCCACAGUACAUAGUACAUAACUUCAAGAGCAUCCAUCACGGUAAAAUAAUGAAGAGCUGAAGAGCUUUGAGUAUUUAUCUUUGUUUCUAAAUAUAAUCUAUUUAGUUAUGAUUUAUAUCAUUGAAUUUUUAGUAAUGGUUGUGUUUAACGACAAGUGGUCCUCAAAGUUUCGGAGCACGUAACGAUCCCUCGGCAUGAGCUGGUUCGAUUGCUUUCCUGUAGUGCCCAGCCAUCUUUUUCUCCCCCAUCUCUGGGGGACAUCCCCGUCUUCCCAGCACACCUGGCUCCUGAAGUGUCCUGUGCCCUUUUAAUGACCCUCUGGCUGUCCAGGGACCCCCGUUUUUCCUGUCUUUGAUAUCUUGCUCUCACACCGCCCCAUUCCCUCUCAUCUGCAUUCACAAUACUUUGAGUUCUGUAGGAGAACUGGUCUCAGAUAGCUGACAGAAAUUCACAACAAGGGAUAGCUGAUCAAAUCUUGGUGGUUGGGGCGCCUGGGUGGCUCAGCUGGUUAAGCGUCCGACUUCAGCUCAGGUCAUGAUCUCACGGUUCGUGGGUCUGAGCCCUGUGUCGGGCUCUGUGCCGACAGCUCGGAGCCUGGAGCCUGCUUCGGAUUCUGUGUGUGUCUCUUUCUCUGUCCCUCCCCCAUUCGCACUCUGACUGUCUCUCUCUCUCAAAAUAAAUACACAUUUAAAAAGUUGGUUGUUUCAAUAGGCCUGGAAAUGGCUGCAUUUAAAAAAAAAGAUUCUUGUCGACCCAAAGAUUCUAGAAUCUGAAUGUCUGGUCACACUGCAGGUGUAGGAAGUAUCUUUGGAAUUCUGGGGUGCCAACAUCUCUCAGUCCCGGGCAGGAGGUCAUCAUCUUCUCUACAGGGAAGCACUGGCCCAGACGUGCACCUGAUGGCUCUCAUUUCUCUAGACAACCUUUUCCUCUUCUCUCUUGGCUUUAGCCCUUACCCUCUCUCCCACUUGUCCUCUGUUUAAACCUCACUGUUGUGGCUGAGGUGAGGCAGGUGUUAUAUAGACUAGGCGGGGAGAGGAUCAAGAAAACUACAGCUGUUUGUGCUUAUCUAGAACCUUCGGCUCCUGCCUUGUGUGGUCGUGGCUGAUACUUGACAUAUCUGGUGUUUCGUCAGAAUUAGUGUGUUCUCUGUUCCGGCCAGCUCUGCCGUCUGGCACCUUGGCGUGUUGUGACGGGUAGAACUGCCAAUGGGAAGACAACAUAGCCAUUGAGAAGUAGGAGCUUGAGUGAGUCUAGGAGAUGGGGGGUGAGGGGGCGCUCCCAUACAGCCCUUAAGCUGGAGUGGGAGGACAUGGGAAGUCACGGCACAGAGUAUAAGAAGUGGGGUGAAAAUGCAGGAGGAGGGAGUUAGGUCAGGCUCUGGAAUGAUGGCAUUAACAAACAAACCAGAUGGAGGAAAAAGGCAUUUGUGUGUCAACACAUAUUUAUUGAGUAUCUUCCAUGUUUCAGGGCUUGUCUAGGCCCCGGACUACAGCCAGGGAAUAAAAGGAAGCCCCUGUUCUAGGUCGCUGACAUUUCUAGUGGGGUGGGACAGAAACAUGGCAGAAGGUAGCCUCAGAAGAACAGGAUGAGAGAUCAGGUGAGGAGCGAGAUUGUGGAGCGACCAUGGGGGCGAGAUAAGAAUCUCUUGGAAGGUUUUGAGCAGGGGGUGUUACAUUCUGACUUGUAUGUCAAAAUGGCAACUCUGAGUUGAUUGCUUUUCAGAAAGCCCAGGUAAGAGGCCGCUGCAAAGUCCAGGUACAGGUGGUUGGGUCACAAGGAGGUGGUGCGAAUCCACAAAUUCUGGACAUGCGGUGAGGACAGAUGGGUCAUGGGCUGUGAAGAGAAGCAGAGGAAUCCUGGAAAGACUCCAAAGGUUUUGGCCUGAGGAAGUAGAUGCAUAGGACUUCCAUUUACUGAGGUGCAAGGCAUAGGGAGGGUGGGGUGGGGGUUAGGGAGGAUCAGGAGUUUGGGGGUGGGCAUGAUAGUUUUGAUGGCUUAGUGGAUGAGGUGCAGAUGUUGAGUCGAUGGCUGCAUCUAUGAAUCUGGAAUGCAGAGGGAGAGGACGAUGCUGUUGGUAUAAGUCAAGGAAUCAUUUAAAGGCACGAGGCUAGGUUAACUAACCCAAGUGUCGAGGGAGAUUCGAUACAGAAGAGAACGGGUCUGAGGAUGGGGCUUUGGGUCUUGAUGUUCAGAGGUGAGGACCCAGCAAAGGAGAUCCUGUAUUUCUAAAAUGAGAAGGCAUGAAGAAUCCUCUUUGUCAGGGCAUUUACCCAAGGGUUACCUGGAAAUGGCCUAGGGGGUGGGGAGAUAAAAGGUCCUCCUGACAGUCCCCUGGACCCAGGCUGGUGGCCUGAGCUAUAGCGAGGAGCUCUGCUUCACCCCACUUUCUCAGAGAUGGUGACACCUGGCAAAAUUUCUCUAAGUCAAUUUUAUUGAUUUAUUUUUCUCUUGAAGUCAAUUUGAAAUUAAAAGGCACGUCAUAUGGCUUUCCAGUGUGUUCUACAGUGGAGCAAAUAACAAUAGGAUGUGGUAGCCACGAAAAGACUGGGUGCUUCUGAAGUUGUCAGGCUGGAAGAACAAGGAGCGGGUGAAUGCCGUCUUGCUACUCCCUAAGUAGAGAAGCCACAGAGGGCUGUGUUGGGAGCACUUUGUACCUUGCCUGGCCCACACUGGGUUAAAUAUCGUUUUCUCCUUCCAAGUCUCUGCUGACUGGUAGCUGUGUGACCUCAGGAAAAUUGCUUAACUUCUCAGAGCCUCUGUUUCCUCAUUGGUAAUGACUAUUCCCCCAAAAGGUGUUUGUAAAGAUUGAAUAAUUUUAUUUUUUUAUUUUAUUGUUUUAAAAUAUUUAUUUAUUUUUGAGAGAAAGAGAGAGAGAGAGAGCACACAGCAGGGGAGAGGCAGAGAGAGAGAGAGAGAGAGAGAGAGAGAGAGAGAAUCUGAAGCAGGCUCCAGGCUCUGAGCUGUCAGUACAGAGCCUGAUGUGGAGGUGAAACCCACGAACUUCUAGAUUAUGACCUGAGCCGAAGUUGGACGCUCAACUGCCUGAGCCACCCAGGCGCCCCAAGAUUAAGUAAUUUUAAAUAGAUUGAAGCCUGUAGUGAACUGCAAAGUUAUAUACAAAUACGAGGCAGAAGCGGCUGUGCCUAUAAGAAAAUAGCUCAAUUUACACAAUAAUAGAUUCUCACCCUUUGCAUAAAUACAGGAUUUCCAUACUCAGGUCACCGGAGCUGGCCUUCUUCAGCACGCAAGUAUUCCAAUUAGACAUGGAAGCACUCUCCACUAUUAUGUCAUAUAUUUCUUGUGGGCUCAGAGAGAGAAGAUGAGCUUACUAGUCAUGCCCUGUUGCCAUCACCGACUCCUGAGUUGGAAAUAUAAAGAAUUCUCAGCUCCCUCAUCUAUCUGUCCAUGCUCUUACCUCUGGUGUCCAAUCUGCCUCCUUUCUAUGCCGAUUGCCGGUUGAAAGUGCCUCUGGUCUUCCUCUUCUGAAUUCUGUGAAAUCAAUAAAAAGCAAGAGGCAGCAUGCAGGGUGAAGGUGAUCCUGUCUGUGCUGGCCUCAAUUAUGGAGUCAGUUUAAGCUCAAGUGUGGGGUGAGCAUAAGCCUGGCGGAGGGGGUGUAGGGAGGGUGAGGGCUGAAUUACAUAAAGGGUCAGGAGAUCUGCGUUCUAGCCGUGACAUUCACAAACCGUCUCUCUACAGCAUUUCCAUUAGUCGAAGGAAAGGAAUUGGAUCCCAGCUCUUCUAGCUCUUUUCUCUUUGGGACUCUGACUUCACUUGUUUGGAGACUCAGUCUACUUAUUUCAGCAUCGUUCCACUAGGUGGCGAUGUUUCCUUAACCCCCAAGCAAGUUUUCAUUCUGGGAAAAAAGCCGAGUUUCGUAGCCAGUUUUUUUUUUCUCCCGUGAAAGUGCGAAAGAAUGAUUCUCUCUCUCUCUCUCUCUCUCUCUCUCUCUCCCUCCCUCCCUCCCUCCCUCCCUCUCUCUCUCUCUCUUUUUUAAAAUAUAAGAGGGGAGCCUGGGUGGCACAGUCGGUUGAGCGUCCGACUUCAGCCAGGUCACGAUCUCGCCGUCCGUGAGUUCGAGCCCCGCGUCAGGCUCUGGGCUGAUGGCUCAGAGCCUGGAGCCUGUUUCUGAUUCUGUGUCUCCCUCUCUCUCUGCCCCUCCCCCGUUCAUGCUCUGUCUCUCUCUGUCCCAAAAAUAAAUAAACGUUGAAAAAAAAAAUUUAAAAUAUAAGAAUGAUUCUCCAAAGCUGGGGACGAAAGAAGGAACUUUCCUUCUGAACACCUCAGGCAGUUUAUGCUGGAAACAGACAGGGCCUCUGUUUAGAGAUUCCUCCUCUCUGCUGGGAGUGGGAACUCAGGCUAGAGUUUUGCAUUCUGUGAUUGCACAAGGGCUGGGGGCGGCGGAGGGAGGGGAAGAGGCGGGGGCUGGGAGACGUUGGAAACGCUGGGUCCUAGGGAGGUUAGGGGGCGGUGGACGGUAGGCACGAGCUCUGGGCCCGCGUGAGCCCUGCAAGACUCUGCCCGGAGAAGCGCACUGGAUGCCAACUUUUCCGGGCUCCGCAGGAGUAGGCAUUGCCAGAUGCUCCCACCAGGGGCUAGGACGGUCCUCCCAGAAUCGGACUGCUUUGCUCAUGAAGGUCAGAGAUGCACGAGGGCAGCAUGAAGCCCAGCCUCCUUCUCAUGCAGAUGGGGAAGCUGAGGCCCAGAGCGGGUCAGUUCUCCUAAUGCUACCUCCCAGCCAAAUUACUUUGUCCUUACACAUUUCAAAUAGACUUGCCAACUGUCUCAUCUUGAGCGUGCAGCUAGCGCAUCUAGUAGUUAAUUAAGCCUGCGAGCCUCCCACCCGCCGAGCCCUUGCACCGUGCACACCAGGACAUACUGCACCGGAAGAGUUGGGGUGAUUUGCUCAAAGACCUCAAACAGAACACCAAUCCAGUGGGGGAGACAACUCAUUUAAAGCAACUGCUUCUUAACCCGUAGAACAGAUCUCAUAGUAGGGUCCAUUUGUUUAUUUGCGUUUAAUAAUAAUGUAAUAAUAGCGAACUUUUAUUCAGUGGUUCCUAUGGACUGGGCCCUGUGCUAAGCACUUAGCAUCAUUGUAUCUAUCCUAUAGCAAUGUCAGCAAAUCUGUGAGGCAGCUAUCGCUAUCUAUUUAAAUUUUUUUUAAUGUUUAUGUACUUUUGAGAGAAGGCGAGAGUGGGGGAGGGGCAGAGAGAGGGAGACACAGAAUGGGAAGCAGGCUCCAGGCUCUGAGCGGUCAGCACAGAGCCCAACGCGGGGCUCGAACUCACAGACCGCGAGAUCGUGACCUGAGCUGAAGUCAGACGCUUAACCGACUGAGCCACCCAGGCGCCCCUGCUGUCUAUUUAUUAUAGAGGUUCAGAAAGGUUGAGUAACUAGCUUAAAGUCACACAGCCGGAAGGAGCAGAGCCAAUAGUCACACCCUAAUUUCCCUAAGUCAAGCUUUGGUCUUUUAGCCUCCACAUUGUGCUUCAGGACGCUGUCCCCCAUUUUUAGGAUCUGAUACAGAAACUUACCGGAGUUUCUGGAGGACCAGUCACUAUCUCAUCAUGUUCCUGUUGUGACAUGAAGGCUCCGUGGUAGCAAGCCAGCUUAGGGCCUAGAGACUUGGUGACAUCAGUGUCACAUCUGCAGGACACUCAGAACGCGAACGCACGACAUGAGGAGAGAUGCUCCCAAAGGAGGCUGUUGGCACCAGGAUCCAAGAAGCAGCGAGAAUCUGUGUUUGUUUGGAGGUGUUCCCACUACCCGUGAAGGCAGGGAUAGUCGGCAGUGUGGUGCCUGAGGAACAGCCACAUGACACCGGAGGCUGCUCUAGGGACCGUCCUCCUCCGUGCUGGGCUCAGAGUGUGGCAUUUAGUACGCAUCACCUCACCUGGGACUCCUGGCGGCGUGUUGCCCCAGGGACCACUUUGUCCCCACCUUACCAGGGGCAAUAUCUCAAAUACAGGAAGUUCUCCUCAACAAACUGAUGCCAGAUACAGAUAGCCUUCAGAAAUCCAGGUUUGCGUGUUCUCUCAAAAGGGCACGAAAUUGAAAUACUUUAUUAAGUUGUGGGAUAACAACCAGUUAUCCCGGAGGUGCAGUUACUGUUAUAGAAAAAGGGACGAGGAUUUCCAGCCUGACAGAUUUAGAUUCCCCGGCUCAAUAACCACGGGACCUUGGGCAAAUUACCUAACCUCUUUGAGUCUCAGUUUCCUCAUUUUCUAAAAGGGGGCAAUAUUGCAUACGUCCCAGGGUUACAGUGAUAGUCAAUGAGAUGAUGUAUGUGAACUGCCUGGUGUAUUUUGUGCAACGUCGUAAGUGUUCAGUAAAUACUAAUGAUGACGAUGAAGGUGGUUACUGUUAAUGCCCUUCCAGCGAGCUGCCCACCCUUAUUCCAGAUCCUUUGUGACCACUGCUGGGGACUUUAGAAUCUCUGAACCCACCGAAACCCCGCUUAUCCAGAGGGCCUUGCCAUUUCUGCCUGCUGAUGGCUCAUUUGUCUUGGGGAUGACCUUCAUCCUCCACAUUCCCAUUCCAUGGUUUGCCAGAAUCCAGCAUUUAGGCAGUGAAUUCUCAGGGCUGUAGGAGCUAUGGUCUAUGAGGAGUUUACUACCUGUGCCCAAUAAAUGUUCAAUGAAUAAAUAAGAGCCAAUAAAACUGUAAAAGCAAGAAUAAAAAUGAGUAUCCUUAUAAGCACUUUAGAUCUUAAAAGGUCUUUAUAUUCGGCUGCUCGGAGUCAAACUUGUAUCCAAUAAAGAUUUUACAAAGGGUCUGGAGUUGCACCACCAAAGGAAGGGGGAGGCUCCAAUAUCCAUCCCUGGCCGGAUGAACAGCCACCCAGGGCGGGGCCAGUGGCCUUGCGUCUCCAGGUCUGAUAAACUCCAGGAAAUACAUUCAGGCCAAAGUAUAUUUCCUAUCAGUGGAAGAAGACCAGAAAUGGAAGAGGGAGACAGGGAGGAGACCUCCCAAGGGCACCUCACUCCAACACUAGGGACUAUGAAUCUACAACAGGAAGGCUUUAAAAAAGUCGUGUCAGUCUGUCUUGAUGAUGUUCUAGUAGCUAAAUAGAAAGGAGCCAUGAGGACGGCCACAAAGACCAUCAUAUCUCACCUCCAUCCACCCACCACAUUGCCUGAAAUGUUACCAUUAGGAUUCUUUUCCUUUGGGUUUCCUUUGAGUUUUGAGUUAACAAGUAAGAGUAAUGUCUGGAAAAUUCUUAUUUUACAUCCUCAACUUUUGGAUUUUCUCUUCUAGAUCAUAAAGACAAACAAUAGCAAGUAACUUCUUAGUGUUUUUUCCUUCUUAUUACAAAAGAGAUCCACAUUCAUCAUAAAAUAUUUGCAAAAAGAGAUAAGCAAAAUUAAGGAAAUAAAUUCAGCCUAUAAUGUAAUUUCCCAGGGAUAGUGAUUAUUAAAAUUUAGGUAUUCCCUUCUGCCAUUUUCUUUCUUUUUUUUUUUUUUUUUAAAUUUUUUUUUUUCAACGUUUAUUUAUUUUUGGGACAGAGAGAGACAGAGCAUGAAUGGGGGAGUGGCAGAGAGAGAAGGAGACACAGAAUCGGAAACAGGCUCCAGGCUCUGAGCCAUCAGCCCAGAGCUUGACGCGGGGCUCGAACUCACGGACCGCGAGAUCGUGACCUGGCUGAAGUCGGACGCUUAACCGACUGCGCCACCCAGGCGCCCCAACGUUUAUUUAUCUUUGAGACAGAGAGAGAGACAGAGCAUGAACGGGGGAGGGUCAGAGAGAGAGGGAGACACAGAAUCGGAAACAGGCUCCAGGCUCUGAGCCAUCAGCCCAGAGCCUGACGCGGGGCUCGAACUCACAGACCGCGAGAUCGUGACCUGGCUGAAGUCGGACGCUUAACCGACUGCGCCACCCAGGCGCCCCAACGUUUAUUUAUUUUUGAGACAGAGAGAGACAGAGCAUGAACGGGGGAGGGGCAGAGAGAGAGGGAGACACAGAAUCGGAAACAGGCUCCAGGCUCUGAGCCAUCAGCCCAGAGCCUGACGCGGGGCUCGAACUCACAGACCGCGAGAUCGUGACCUGGCUGAAGUCGGACGCUUAACCGACUGCGCCACCCAGGCGCCCCUNUUUUUUUUUUUUUUUUUAAAUUUUUUUUUUUCAACGUUUAUUUAUUUUUGGGACAGAGAGAGACAGAGCAUGAAUGGGGGAGUGGCAGAGAGAGAAGGAGACACAGAAUCGGAAACAGGCUCCAGGCUCUGAGCCAUCAGCCCAGAGCUUGACGCGGGGCUCGAACUCACGGACCGCGAGAUCGUGACCUGGCUGAAGUCGGACGCUUAACCGACUGCGCCACCCAGGCGCCCCUGCCAUUUUCUUUCUUAAUGAAACUUUUUUUCCUAUGAAAUUUAAUAGAAUACAAUGUACCUCUCUUUUCCUUUAUAUUUAACAUUCCUUAUUUCUUACUUAGAAAACCUUUUCCUGCGUUAUGAAAAAUUCUCCUAUAUUUUCUUCUAAAUGUUAAUAAUUUGUAGUUUUAUACAGUUGUUGCCUUUCAGAUAAAGUUAGCAAUCUACCUAGAUUGACAUCUGUGGAUGGCAUAAGGUAGGGACAAGUUCUAUUUUUCGCCCCAAAUGGAUAUCCAGGUGUGUAUCGAGACCAUUCUUUCCCUACUACUCUGCAAUUUCACUUUUUGUUGAAAAAUCAAUGGUCCACGCACGGUGGCUCUCUUUCUGGGCGCUCCUGUGUUCCAUUGGACUGUCUGUAUGUUGGACAAGACAAGGUGGGCUAUGCUUUGUUUUGGGUAACGAAUAACCCCAACAUGUCAUGGAUUAACAUACUAAAGUUAUUGUUUUUCUUUACUAGCAGAUCACUGGUGAUACAGAAUAUGCGUCAGGGCAACUGUCCUUCAUGAAUGAAGUCUCUGCAUCAUCGGGAGCACUCUCUAUCCCAAGAAGAGAGACUUGGGUCUCUCAUCAUCUCAACGGCACUCAUCAUUCACUUCCUCUUACAACCCAUUAGCCAGUGACUCUCUCAGUAAGAGUUAGACUCAUGAGCAAAGGGCUGUGAAGUGCUGUCCGCCAUAUGCCUGGAAGGGGAGGCUACCAGAUAUUGGAAAACACGAGUUAUGCCUACCUUCAUCUAUACCAUUGACUGAAAGCGCUGGUCUUAAUCAUUUUUAUAGUAAGACUCCGUACCUAACAGACGAAAGACUCCGAUGCUGUGUUUCGACUUCAAGAAGGCCUUGGCUCGUCUUAGACCUUGGCAAUUCCAUACAAAUUGUAGGAAGUGUUUGUGAAGUUCUGAAAAAGAUCCCGAAUUCACAGCUGAAUCAAGGGAGAAUCGACACUGAAAAUAUCAAGUGUUCUAAUUCAGUAACAGAAUUUCUCUCCUUUAAUCCAGGUCUUCUUUAGUUUCUUUCAAUAAUGUUUUAUAAUGUUUAAAAAAAUUUUUUUUAACAUUUAUUCAUUUUUGAGAGACAGAGACAGAGUGUGAGUGGGGGAGGGGCAGAGAGAGGGGGAGACACAGAAUCCAAAGCAGGGUCCAGGCUCCGAGCCAUCAGCACAGAACCAGAGGCAGGGCUUGAAAUCACGGACCACAGGAUCAUGACUUGAGCUGAAGUUGGACACUUAAUGGACUGAGCCACCUGGGUGCCCCAAUGUUUUAGAAUGUUUUGCACAGAGGUCUUAUACACCUUUUGUUAGAUUUUCCCCUAAAAUUUGGAUAUGUUUAAAUCCUAGUGUAAAUGUUAUUUUCAAAGUUUUUUCCAUUUUAUAAAAUCUGUGGUUGAUAGGGGCACCUGGGUGGCUCAGUUGGUUUUAACCAUCCAACUUCGGCUCAGGCAAUGAUCUUGCAGUUCACUAGUUCGAGCCCCACGUCAGGCUCAGAGCCUGAAGCCUGUUUCAGAUUCUGUGUCUG
rnacentral:lncRNA from 1 species